rnacentral:rRNA from 1 species
GACGAACGCUGGCGGCGUGCUUAACACAUGCAAGUCGAACGAUGAAGAAGAGAAACGCGAACUUCGGUUCAAAUUUCACUUCGGAUUAGUGGCAGACGGGUGAGUAACGCGUGAGCAACCUACCUCUUACAAAGGGAUAGCCUCGGGAAACCGUGAUUAAUACCAUAUGACACAUUCAUAAGGCAUCUUAAGAAUGUUAAAGCUACGGCGGUAAGAGAUGGGCUCGUGUCCCAUUAGCUAGUUGGUGAGGUAACGGCCCACCAAGGCGACGAUGGGUAACCGGCCUGAGAGGGUGAACGGUCACAUUGGAACUGAGACACGGUCCAAACUCCUACGGGAGGCAGCAGUGGGGAAUAUUGCACAAUGGAGGGAACUCUGAUGCAGCGACGCCGCGUGAGCGAUGAAGGAAUUCGUUUCGUAAAGCUCUGUUCUAUGGGAAGAAAAGGACUGUACCAUAGGAGAAAGCCCCGGCUAAAUACGUG